AGUAUAGCAUGGUGUAUUGCUCGAAUCGGGUACCCUUGUCUUUGUCAAACCAGGUUUGGUUGAUGCCAGCUUGUGGAAUUCCUUCUCUUGGCUUUCACACUGGAUCUGGAGUGGACUGCCUCAGACUGCUUCAGACCUUUAUAACCGUGCGUGUGUACUCGCUCUCUGUUUUCUGGCGAGCGUAUUGAAAAACUGGGAGCCCCCUCUGUUUUGGUUUUCUUGUAUAGAAUGUAAAUGACACUGUAAAGUUUCAGUCAUCAGAUUGAUGGUCUUGAUUAUAGUGCUGCAAUGUGUGCUCCAAAGAGGUUUGGGCAUUAUAUAUAUCCCUUUGUUUUUAUCAUGUCAGUGAUAGCGACAGCAAUGUGUGUGUGCUGUAGAAAGUUCCACAUUGG
rnacentral:lncRNA from 7 species